rnacentral:lncRNA from 1 species
UGAAUAUUCUGAAGAAACCGAGUCUUCGUUGAAUUCUCCUUUCUCCGACUCCGAAUCUGAGAAUACUUCGUUGUCACCUACACCAGUAAAAUCAACAACAAGAUCGAUUUCGCUUCCAUCAACAUGAAGAUCACCUAUGGCACUGCUCGAGGAUUGUUGCAUCGCAGCCGUAUCCGAAACUCCUUCCAAUUUCCCCCGUGGAGUUAUAUGGGUCACGGUGACCCAAGGGUCUUGUUUAUUCCUCACACGAGGAUACCGAAUAUAAGUUACUUGAUCAGCUUGUGAAGCCAGAAUGAACGGAUCAUAGUUUGCAAGACUUCUUCUGGAAUGAACUGAUGUUACUCCAAACUCGUCAAUUCGUACACCAUAUCCAACGAUCGGGUUGUACCAAUCAGCAAAGAAGGCAACACACCUCAAAUUAAGGAUCCCCGGAUAGUGAAUCUCCAAUAUCUCACGCAAAAUACCAUAGUAGAUUACUUCGCCA